GCCCUGGUGGCGGAAUUGGCAGACGCGGCGGACUUAGGAUCCGCUCCCUGUAGGGAUUGGAGGUUCGAGUCCUCUCCAGGGCA
rnacentral:tRNA from 1 species